rnacentral:misc_RNA from 1 species
UACGAACCGGACGAACGUUAUUCGGAAUUACUGGGCGUAAAGCGCACGCAGGCGGUCUGUCAAGUCGGAUGUGAAAUCCCCGGGCUCCACCUGGGAACUGCAUCCGAAACUGGCAGGCUAGAGUCUUGGAGAGGGGGGUAGAAUUCCAGGUGUAGCGGUGAAAUGCGUGGAGAUCUGGAGGAAUACCGGUGGCGAAGGCGGCCCCCUGGACAAAGACUGACGCUCAGGUGCGAAAGCGUGGGGAGCGAACAGG